GGGACAGUGGCUGAGUGGCUUAAGCAAUCAACUCAUAAUUGAUCCUACGCAAGUUCGAACCUUGCCUGUCCCA
rnacentral:tRNA from 1 species